rnacentral:rRNA from 1 species
CGGGUCCUACGGGGGGCAGCAGUGGGGGAUAUUGCACAAUGGGGGGAACCCUGAUGCAGCGACGCCGCGUGGGUGAAGGAGCGUUUCGGCGCGUAAAGCCCUAUCGGCAGGGAAGAAGGAGGACGGUACCUGACUAAGAAGCCACGGCUAACUACGUGCCAGCAGCCGCGGUAAUACGUAGGGGGCAAGCGUUAUCCGGAUUCACUGGGUGUAAUGUGAGCGUAGACCGCCAUGCAAGCCUGGAGUGUAAGCCCGGGGCCCAACCCCGGGACUGCUCUGGGAACUGUGCGGCUGGAUGGCGGGAG